AGCAUAUGAGCAUAAGGGGCUAAUUUGUGUUCAUGAUGAGAGGGCUUACACUGCUCUGCUUGGUGGGACUGAUUCUCGCAGCCUCGUGGCCUAACGGGGACACAGCGCCGACUAACAAGACUAUUCCUGUACGUGAAAUGCCUCCUUGGAGUCCUCUUGGAAAUUCUGAUGGUUUUCCACCUCCAUCACCUGAUGGAAAUGUGAUUCAGGAAAAGCAAUGAUGGACAGACACAGCAGAAGGGCUCAACUGAUGGCAGACAUGACCAUCUAUUUACUCUGCUGAUGCUACUGCCUCCUUCAAAUAAACAUUUAAGUCCA